UCAGAAAUCGAAGAGGCACCUACUUUUCCAGCCUUGUCAGCACCUGUCACACGCACACUCAGCUUUGCGGAAAUUAUGCGCAUUCUGUCGAAGACUUCUGGGGAAGUAGAAAACACAUGAAUCUUACUGUUCAAUCACCCACUUCCCACACGCAACAAUAGCUCAUGGGUACCACAGAUAACUUUGCCAAAGUUCUCUGCCAAAGUUGAGCACGUGAAGCUUACAGCUCCCACUACAUCGCUCUGACCAAGAAGGGUAAAAGAAUAGCAAAGAAACAGCACUAACAAAGUUUAGACCCAUAAAUUUUGAAGGUCUAGCUACCAUAUUAUUACCCACAAGGGUAAAGGAACAGUACCACUGCUGGAUAAUUGGAAAGUCCCGGUGUGUCAACCUAUGUGCUUCGUGGCAAGGUAGACUAGCAAACAUGCCCAACCUUUACUCACAUUCGAGAAAACACUCCCAAUAAGAUUGCUUGCUCCAAAAUCGAAGAGGCACCGUCCUCCGAAUCUCGAGAGCCAGACUCCCAACAUGACUACUUUCUUAAAAAUCGAAGAGAGGGUAAAGGAACAGUACCAUUGCUGGAUAAUUGGAAAGUCCCUGUGUGUCAACCUCUGUGCUUCAUGGCAAGGUAGACUAGCAAACAUGCCCAACCUUUACUCACAUUCGGGAAAACACUCCCAACAAGAUUGCUUGCUCCAAAAUCGAAGAGGCACCGCCCUCCGAAUCUCGAGAGCCAGACUCCCAACAUGAUUACUUUCUCAAAAAUCGAAGAGACACUGCUCCCCGAAUCUUCGAGAGCCAGACCCCCAACAUGAUUGCUUUCUCAAAAAUCGAUGAGGCAUCGUUCUCCGAAUCAUCAAUCGAAGAGGCGCUCGCUUUCUCAAAAGCUGGGCUGCUCAGAGACCACGAGGGCCGAUCUCAGAAAUCGAAGAGGCACCUACUUUUCUAGCCUUGUCAGCACCUGUCACACGCACACUCAGCUUUGCAGAAAUUAUGGGCAUUCUGUCGAAGACUUCUGGUGAAGUAGAAAGCACAUGAAUCUUACUGUUCAAUCACCCACUUCCCACACGCAACAAUAGCUCAUGGGUACCACAGAUAACUUUGCCAAAGUUCUCUGCCAAAGUUGAGCACGUGAAGCUUGCAGCUCCCACUACAUCGCUCUGACAAAGAAAGGUAAAAGAAUAGCAAAGAAACAGCACUAACAAAGUUUAGACACAUAAAUUUUGAAGGUCUAGCAACCAUAUUAUUACCCACAAGGGUAAAGGAACAGUACCACUGCUGGAUAAUUGGAAAGUCCCUGUGGGUCAACCUCUGUGCUUCGUGGCAAGGUAGACUAGCAAACAUGCCCAACCUUUACUCACAUUCGAGAAAACACUCCCAACAAGAUUGCUUGCUCCAAAAUCGAAGAGGCACCGUCCUCCGAAUCUCGAGAGCCAGACUCCCAACAUGACUACUUUCUCUCAAAAUCGAAGAGAGGGUAAAGGAACAGUACCAUUGCUGGAUAAUUGGAAAGUCCCUGUGUGUCAACCUUUGUGCUUCGUGGCAAGGUAGACUAGCAAACAUGCCCAACCUUUACUCACAUUCGAGACAACACUCCCAACAAGAUUGCUUGCUCCAAAAUCGAAGAGGCACCGUCCUCCGAAUCUCGAGAGCCAGACUCCCAACAUGACUACUUUCUCAAAAUCGAAGAGAGGGUAAAGGAACAGUACCAUUGCUGGAUAAUUGGAAAGUCCCUGUGUGUCAACCUUUGUUCUUCGUGGCAAGGUAGACUAGCAAACAUGCCCAACCUUUACU
rnacentral:lncRNA from 1 species